UUGUUGUUCUGCCAACAUGGCGGCUCCCAUGGUGACUCGUAGGGACGUGUCUGUCUAAAGGCGGGAUCCUAGGCGUGGAGAAGCCGCAGGCCACAGCCUGUGAUCAGGUAUCUCUGCCCAUACAUGAUUGUCAUUUUGGGUCCAUUCCUCAGGCCCCUCCUUCUCUGGCCAUAAUUCUCAAACCUCAACAGUACACCCCAGGGCCUUCCUGCCAUCCGAAGAAUGGCUUCUGCUUGGCAGAGACUUGGUUUUUAUGCAUCACUUCUGAAAAGGCAGCUAACUGGCGGACCGGACAUCAUCAAGUGGGAAAGGAGAGUAAUUCCAGGAUGUGCCAGAAGUAUUUACAGUGUCACCGGAGAGUGGACGAGGCAGUAUACAUUGCAGACAAGAAAGGACGUGGAGAAAUGGUGGUAUCAACGAAUAAAGGAGCAGGUUUCCAAAAUUUCAGACACCGAUAAAUCAAAGCCCAAGUUUUACGUGCUUUCCAUGUUCCCGUAUCCUUCUGGCAAGCUGCACAUGGGCCACAUGCGGGUCUACACCAUCAGCGACACCAUUGCAUGGUUCCAGAAGAUGAGAGGGAUGCAGGUCAUCAACCCCAUGGGAUGGGAUGCGUUCGGAUUGCCUGCUGAAAAUGCGGCCAUUGAGAGGAAUCUGCACCCAGAAAGUUGGACACAAAGUAAUAUUCAACACAUGAGGAAACAGCUUGAUCGACUGGGCCUGUAUUUCAGCUGGGAUCGGGAAAUAACUACAUGUUUGCCAGAUUACUACAGAUGGACUCAGUACCUCUUUAUUAAACUCUAUGAAGCUGGACUGGCCUAUCAAAAGGAGGCAUUGGUUAACUGGGACCCAGUAGAUCAAACGGUGCUAGCCAACGAGCAGGUGGAUGAACAUGGCUGUUCGUGGCGUUCCGGAGCAAAGGUGGAACAGAAGUACCUCAGACAGUGGUUUAUUAAGACUACCGCUUAUGCAAAGGCCAUGCAAGACUCCUUGGCAGACCUUCCAGAAUGGUAUGGAAUAAAAGGCAUGCAGGCCCACUGGAUCGGGGACUGUGUAGGCUGCCAUCUGGACUUCACAUUAAAGGUUGAUGGGCAAGUCACAGCAGAAAAGCUGACGGCCUACACAGCCACCCCCGAGGCCAUUUAUGGCACUUCCCACGUGGCCAUCUCUCCCAGCCACAGACUCUUAUAUGGGCACAGCUCUCUGAAGGAAGCCUUCCGGAAAGCCCUUGUCCCUAGCACAGAUUGCCUCACACCCGUGAUGGCUGUGAACAUGCUCACCCAGCAGGAGGUGCCUGUGGUUAUCAUGGCCAAAGCAGACUCUGAAGGCUCUCUGGAUUCAAAAAUAGGAAUUCCCAGCACGAGCUCAGAAGACACCCUCUUAGCCCAAACCUUAGGUCUGUCCUACUCUGAGGUUAUUGAAAUGUCGCCAGAUGGCACGGAGAGACUGGUCAAUUCUGCUGAGUUCACAGGUAUGACCCGGCAGGAUGCUUUUCAGGCCCUGACUCAGAAAGCCCGGAGGAAGAGGGUGGGUGGAGACGUGACCAGUGAUAAGCUGAAAGACUGGCUGGUCUCGAGGCAGCGGUACUGGGGUACGCCAAUCCCCAUUGUCCACUGCCCAGCCUGCGGCCCCGUGCCUGUACCCCUGGAGGACUUGCCCGUGACCCUGCCCAGCAUCUCAUCCUUCACUGGCAAGGGAGGCUCCCCGCUAGCCACGGCUUUGGAGUGGGUGAACUGCUCCUGUCCCAGGUGCAAGGGAGCAGCCAGGAGAGAGACGGACACCAUGGAUACCUUUGUUGAUUCGGCUUGGUACUACUUCAGAUACACUGACCCUCACAAUACUCAGAGCCCCUUUAGCACGGCCUCAGCAGAUUUCUGGAUGCCUGUGGAUUUGUACAUUGGAGGAAAAGAGCAUGCUGUCAUGCACUUGUUCUAUGCAAGAUUCUUUAGCCAUUUUUGCCACGAUCAAAAGAUGGUCAAGCACAGAGAGCCUUUUCAUAAGCUGCUGGCCCAAGGCCUUAUCAAGGGGCAGACCUUCCGCCUACCAGCUGGGCAGUAUCUGCAGAGAGAUGAAAUAGAUCUCACAGGUUCUGUUCCUGUGCACUCAAAAACAAAAGAGGCAUUAGAGGUGACGUGGGAGAAGAUGAGUAAGUCCAAGCACAAUGGGGUGGACCCUGAGGAUGUUGUGGAGCAGUAUGGGAUCGACACCAUUCGGCUCUACAUCCUUUUUGCCGCCCCUCCUGAGAAGGACAUCUUGUGGAAUGUGAAGACUGACGCUCUCCCUGGGGUGCUGAGGUGGCAGCAACGUCUGUGGUCCUUGGUAACCCGAUUUAUUGAGUCCAGGGCUUCCGGGAAGGCUCCCAGGCCUCAACUGCUGAGUAACAAGGAGAAAGCCGAGGCCAGGAAGCUUUGGGAGUACAAGAACUCUGUCAUCUCUCAGGUGACCGCCCAUUUCACAAAGGACUUCUCACUGAACUCUGCGAUUUCUCAGCUGAUGGGACUCAGCGGUGCCCUCUUACAAGCUUCUCAGCAGGUGGUUCUGCACAGCCCCGAGUUUGAGGAUGCUCUUUGUGCCCUGAUGGUGAUGGCUGCACCAAUGGCCCCUCACAUAACCUCGGAGCUCUGGGCAGGCCUGGCGCUGGUGCCUCAGAAGCUGUGUGACCACUAUGCCUGGAAUGCCGGCGUGCUGCUUCAGGCGUGGCCAGCCGUGGACCCGCAGUUCCUCCAGCAGCCGGACGUCGUGGAUAUGGCUGUGCUGAUCAACAACAAAGCCUGUGGCAAAAUCCCUGUGCCCCAAGAAGUUGCCCGGGACGAGGACAAAGUACAGGAACUUGUUCUCCAGAGCGAGCUGGGGGUCAGGCUCUUGCAGGGGCGCAGCAUUAAGAAGGCCUUCCUCUCCCCCAGAACUGCCCUCAUCAACUUCCUGGUGCAAGAGUGACUGCAGGGAGGCUGCGGCCACCGCCAGGGCCUCCGGGAAAGCUCCUUCCAGGCCUGGGAUGAACAGAGAAGGCUGCGGGCUCAGGGAAAGGCAAAGACAAAUGUGUUAAUACUCAUCUCGCGCUAUGGCAGACUUGAGUCGACAGUGUGCCUCUGUGGUGAGGCCUGGUGCAGGGGUGACAGAAGGUGUGGGCAAAGGAGAAAUGUGGACAAUGGAGGAGGGGUCUUGCAGCCAGUCCCUCGACCUCCACCAUACAGAGUGGAAGGAGCCACCUGACCCCACGUGAUGCUGCUGGGUGGGAGCAGGAGAAGAGAAGCAAGCAGGAAUGAGCGCACUGCCUGGAAGCUUCUGGAUUCCAGAAAUUGCAGUGCCUUGGCACUCCCCGGGAACGUGAAGCUAAGCUGAGCAGCUCAGGAACAACGUGGGCAGUCAGUGUUGACCCAGUAACUGAGCUCCAGAUUGUGGUGUAUGGGCCCCACACCUUCAGGCUAAGUAAAUGAAGCCAUUUGGGUCUCGUUCAAACAUCAGUAUGUGGAAAUAGACACUGGGGUCGUCUGAUGUUGUUCUGAAAGGCAGCAGCGCUAGUCCCUCUGCCCAAGCCCCCCACCACCCCUCAGCUCUGCUGUGCAGGCCUCUGCCUCCCCGGCCUGGGGGGAUGCCCCGAAAGGCCUGGUGCACAGGCUCUUGGGUGAAGCCCCCCUUCCACACAUGGGUGGCGAGCAGCACUUCAUAUCCACUCCCCCAGGGUGUAACAUUUGCUGCGUAGUGAAGUGGAAGCAGGCUCUCCACUGCUGGUCCCUAAUCUCAGAGCCUCACCGCAGCCCAACAGGGAGCCUGCUCACAUUGGCCCCAGAUGGUGAUGUGAUCCCAGAGCCCGCCAUUAAGAAGAGCAAGCUCACUGCAGGCGGCUGAUACUGAUGCCACCCACGCAGUGCUUUCUCGUCUUCAGAGCUGCAGAGGCCUGGCUGCUAGGGAGAUGGCCAGGAGUGGACCCAGGCCAGUGGUAGAUAUGGGCAACCCUGGCUUUACAUGAAGCCAGCAAUUAAGGGCUCUUGCCAGAACCGGCCAAAGGCAAUGAUUAAUAUUUAAAGGAGGAAGGCCCAGGAGAAUCUAGCCCUUUGUGAUGCUGAAAAUCUGUCUUCGUUACCUGAUGUCAUUUUUCAAAGUAGCCUCAGCGUGGUCUCCUGCAGUUCAGCAGUGAACAGAUGCCUUUUGUAAUGUAAUAAAAUGUUUAUCCUGUAUGACUUUGGGACGUAUGUGUGAACUUGGAAUUUCCACCAUAUUCCAGUGCCAGGAGUUAAUCAGUAACAAAUUGAGGUAUUCCGUCAUCAUCAGAAGCAUUGGUUAUGUUCCUGACGCCACGUAGAAUGUUGUCAAGUGAGACAGGUGUGGUCCUUCUGUCUCUGGAACAUUCAGUAGAUGGCAGACAACAGUGGUUCAAGCCCAUUGGCAACAGCAGUUAAGUCGUCAGUUCUCAAACUUGGCUCCAACUUCUACCUGAGGAACAUACUGCUACUCCUGGUCCCCACGCUCAGAAAUGCCUGUGUAAUUGGUCUGGGGUGUAACCUGGGCAUCAGAAUUUUUAGAAGCCCCCCAGGCAAUUCUGCUGAACAGCAAAAUUUGUGAAUCACUGGAUGGAUUGGUACAUUCAAACCACAAUUUCUAUCUAGUCCUUCCGCUCUUCAAUCUUAAGUUUAACCUGGAUGAGUUUGGUCCAGGACCAAGACAUGAUGAAGUGGAGUUGGGAAAGGCUAGGAAAGGCAGGGGCAAGAACUGUACACCAGGGAUUUAAGACAUUCCCUGUGCUGACUUGAAUGUACAUAAUCCUAUCGCGUGGGUUAAAUAUAAGCAAACGGAUGAGGAGAUUUGGUACAAGGAGUGAGUGUUUUUACUUCGUUGUCUUUUGCUUUUCCUCAGAAAAGCUAAGUAGUCUAGAACCAGCUGACGAGAUGAGGGUACAAAGACUUUUACUUGCCCAUUAUCUGGCCAGAGCAAUGGCCGGUAAAACCUCCAGGCUCCUGGACUGACCAGUUGGCAGAAACCAGCAUGACUUUGGAGAACCUGUUCUCCAAGAAGAAUAAAACAUUUGAAAACUUGGCCUCAUUGGUAAUUACUAAGAAGUGUUCCAUCCCUUACAAAAUAAAAUGAAAGAAGGACAUUUCCCCACAGAUCAUCGGAUGGGAGACCUACAAGUUAAUUUUCCUUUUUACUUUUUUGCAUUUUCAAUUAUUUUAUUGACCAUUUAGUAUACCAGUAAUGGAGGAAAACAUCAAAAUGUACUAUUUUGUGAAGACUCAGAUGAGCUAAGGACCCCUCCAAUUUCUCUAUUUCUCCCAGUCAGGGUAUCUAGCUGCCUAUGGGGAUAUGCCCCAGUUAGGAAAACAUGCUCCUUCCACUGUGCCAAGUGGAACCCAAAGAAACAAAACCAAAAGCUCCCCUAAAGUUGGGGUCCAGGCCCUUGGUUUGGGCAGACAUGGGAAGUUUCAUCUCUCAGCUUAGGAUCUUGCAGCCCGAGGACAGAAGAGAGGGUGAUGUUCCCUUAAUGGAGCUCUCUUGGUGGGUAAAGCAAUACAACAGCCAAGAGCAUGAAGUCUGGGGUCCACCAGACCUGGGUUCAAAUGCUGAUUGCGCCCUUAAAACUCCAAUGACCUAGGGAAGCUAUGGACCUUUCUGAACCUGUGCUUCCUCAACUGUAAAGUGAGUCGUAAUAAUGCCCUCGGGUGUGAGGAUAAAGUGAGAUAAUGUGUGUAAAACACACGGCACGCGAUAAAUUCUCAAUAAGUAAGAACUGCUUGUGUUUUGUUGUGGUUAAUCUUGGCCUAGUAAGGAUAAACUGAUGGUCUAGAGUGGGAUUGUCUUUGGUCAAAGAGAAGAAAACAUUUACUAAAAGGAGCAUUUACAAAUGUCAAUCCUGGCCAUCCCAGGCCUGUGAAAGAAGAGCGAUUUACCCAGUAAACUGGGAGGACUUUUUAUCCUAUUGGCAGAGCCGGCCCAGUUAUAUGGUGUCGUCAUUGCAUGCAGUGAAAGCUGGUGUUAUCUACUCCCCAUGUUCCGAUUCCAUACAUCCUUCUGGUUAGAUUUCUGGGAGCCCAUCCUUGUCACAGUCAUUUUGCUGCUAGAGACCCUCUGUGAGGGUUAAUCUUAAGUGUCCACUUGGCUAGGCUAUGAUUCUCAGUGGUUUGACAGGUACUGGACUGGUUGCCCUUCCAUAAAGUAAUAUAAUGUAAUCAUCUUCCAUUAUGUGCUCUGAUGUGAUCAGCCAAUUAGUUGAAAGGGGAGUCUUCCUUGGAGGUAUGGUCUACCUCCAGUAUAUAAAUGGAUAUUCUGACAAAGCUUUCUCUCUUUCCACCCUGCACUCUUCUCAUCGCCUAACCUCCAUUUCCUGGGAUGUAAGCCUGCAGAAGUCUCUUGCUUGCUGCCUGACCUCUAGAUUUUGGAUACUACAGCCCCCACAACCCUGUGAGCCAGCAGAGGUCUCCAGCCUGCUGCCUGACCUACGGAUUUGGGAAUUCCCAGCCCCCACAAUCACGCAGCCCGGUUCCUGAACUGGACCCUGAAGGGUGGGCUGUGAGGGCACUAGCACACGGGGACGUGGUGCAGCUGGGCCAGCAUUGGCCAUUACAGGCCAGAGAGGCAUGGUUUCCACACUGGCUGACCCAGCUUCCAUGCACCAGCUGUCCACUCACCUUUCUCCUCCCAGGAGAGAAGGGAAGGGGGCAGCCAAGGCUGUAGCAACAUACUGGGCACCAGGCACCAGGCAAGGGGCCCUGCUGCUGCACUUGAAUCCUUACGGCAAUGCCACAAAGUGGGAAUUACGACCAAUUUCUUGUAGACAAGAAAAUUGAAGCCUAGAAAACACACAGUAAUGAAUUACUUAAGUCAUACCACUAAUAACUGUAGAACCAGGAUUGGGUCCCAGGACUGCCAUUCUGUUCACAGUUGAUGUUUUUACCAUAGCACCAGCCUGCUCUCCUAAGAGAGAGAAGUGGGGUGUCUUGGGAAGAAGUAUUGUUGUUAGCUGCAGUAGAGUUGACUCCCACUGAGCCACCUUAUGUACAACAGAACGAAAUGUUGCUUGGUCCUGCGUCAUCCUUACAAUCACCAGCAUGUUCGAGUCCAUCGUUGUGGCUCUUGUGCCAAUCCAUCUCACCAAGGGUCUUCCCGGCCCUCUCUAGCCCUCUACUUCACCAAACAUGGUGUCCUUUUCUAGCAAUUGAUCCCUCCUGAUGGCGUGUCCAAAGCAAGCAAGCUGGACAGUAUUCUGUUGUGAUCCAUAAGGUAUUCAUUGGCUAAUUUUCAGAAGGAGAUCACCAGGCCUUUCUUCCUAGUCUGUCUUAGUCGGGAACAUUUGCUGAAACCUGUCCACCAGGGGUGAGCCUGCUGGAGUUUGAAAUACCAAUGCAUAUAACAUGUUCUUUCUGUCCAGGGAAUUCUGAUGGAGCUCUGGUGUAUGUGGCCCCACAGAGUUGUACUUCCUUAAGGAAGGGCUCUGGGCUUUUGUGCCCUGAAUCUGAAGAUGCAGAACUGUGGGCUGCCUCUGCAGGGGGUGUCUAACUUCCCAGGCAUCUCUGAAUGAAGGGCUGCCAUUGCCUCAAGGAAAGUCUUCCAAGAAGCGCACAGCUGAACCAUCAGCAGUCCAUACCCAUAGCAACUGGGGAUGACACACCCAUCAAUCUAGAGGACCUGAGCCAAGCACCCACUGCAGGCACCACAAGGAAGAAGCCAGAGUCCGAGCCUAUGAGGUAGCGAGUCCGGGUGAGGAGAGCUGCCGACAGAAGCCAAAGUCACAAGCCAAGUGCGAGUGCAGGGUGGACUCUGAACAAGCUGAGGGGCCUCUGGUUGCCUUUAUGCCACAGACAUGGGCUGCGUGGCUCAGGGCAGUUCUGCUAAAUUCAAGGGAGUGGAUCCGACCAGACAGGAAAGCAUUAUUAUCCCCAUUUUGCAGAUUGCAAAACUGUGGCUCAGAGAGGCUGUCCCACUACAAUAUGUGAUGAAGUAUCUUGACCCCCAAUCUGUGCUUACUCCACUUAGAGUGUUCUUCCUACUUCAUAGGAAAAGGCCAGUGCGACCACCAGACAAAAUUGACCCCAGGAGGGGCAUUUUUCUUGGACAGGUGACCCCCUCAGAGUCCAUAGGUCGAAGGAAGGCCCAGGGACAAAGAAGAGUUUGCUCUCCCCUCAGCUCUUGUGAGGAGAGCAAGCAGAAAACAUCUGUUUCGUAGGCUGUGUCCCUGCCUGAUGCUGAGAGGGAGGUUGGCUACAGGCUUUCGUCCAAGCUGAUGAGUUUGGAGAAUGGAAUCUGGGAUGACCAACAAUGAGCAAGUGGGGAAGCCCCCUGGGUGGUGGGUGGGCAGCGGCAGCGCUGGCACACAGAGGAGAAUGGGAACAGCCAGGGAAAGGCAAGUCUAGGCAGAGGCCUCAGAUCCAAGGGUGGGGGACAAGGACUGUCCACAAGGGCUGGCCCCAUUCGAGGAUCAAUCACCGCCCUAGGCCUGCCCACAGGAGGGAGGUGGGGGCCCUAGGGGUAAGGUAGGGCCAGGCCUGCUGGAACCCGAUACCCAUGACUCAUCUCCUUAGAGCUGUGCCUCCAGCCCUGUCUGUGAGGCCUGGAAUUCCAUUUCUUGAGUAUGCCAGAGAGCUCAGCAUGUAGGAGCUGUGGUCUGCGACUCCAAACAUCAGCAACAGAGGUAAUGAUAUCCAUCAGUUAUCUGUCUCAGAAAAAGUCCAGCCAGAACACUCCUUAGACGUGAGGAUGGCGAGACUUUGUCUCACAUACUUUGGACAUAGUAUCAGAAGAGACCAGUCCCUGGAGACGGACAUCAUGCUUGGUAAAGUAGAGGGUCAGCAAAAAAGAGGAAGACCCUCAAUGAGAUGGAUUGACACAAUGGCUGCAACAAUGGGCUCAAACAUAGCAAUGAUUGUGAGGACGGCUCAGGAGCAGACAGUGUUAACGUUCUGUUAUACGUGGGAUCACUAUGAGUCAGAACCGACUCGACGGCACCUAACAACAACUCUGUGCUGGAGUCCCCAGGUGGCGCAAACAGUUAAAUACUCAAGUACCAACUGAAAGGUUAGCAGUUCAAACCCACUAAGAGGUACCUCGAAAGAAAAGCCUGGUUCUCUGCUUCCAAAAGGUCACAGCCUUAAAAACCCUGUGGAGUACAGUUCUACCUUGCACAAAUGGGGUCGCCAAGAGUCAGAGUCGACGCAACAGCAACUGGUUUGGUGUUUUUGUAAUUGUGAGCCGACACUGCUCUAAGCGCUUCACCAAAUAACGGCCUGGCCAAGGCCACACACGAGAAGAUGGCAGAGCCAAAAUUCAAACCCUGCUCCAGCACCUUGCUUCCCAAAAGCCUGUAUGCAAACCAAAAGCCCUUGUACCUUCUGGAUUCUCCAAGACGGUCCCGAUUUCCAGGGGUAUCUCCAGUUGUCCCCAAACUACCCUCGAACCUGCCCAGUCCAUACAUUCUGCUCUGUGUCUGGAAAGGUAGGCUCACUAUGGGUUCACACUCAGCGGAGCACAUCCCUGGUCUUCCGAGGCACCCCAUUCAUUAUGUGCCUGGGGACAGGUUUGGGCUAUCUCUCUGACCCUGGGACUGACCACUCACACAGAGCUGUCAUCUCUGGCAGAUGGAUGGAGCCUCCCUUGGUACCACCACCGGGACCCAGAAGUCAGGGGCUCAACUUUGCUCAACUCCACAUGCUGCUAGGAAAUGUCCCAUGGGAGGAAAGAAGUGGGAGACCUGGCCUGAGCCCACAGUCUCGGUGAUAACCUCGUGGCCUCACAGCGCCCGCCCGUCAGUGCCUUCCCUGAUCAUCCUUUCCAGGCAUAGCAGAACAACCUCAUCUGGGAUUAACUGAGGGUGACUCAGCCCUGGCACCGUUUAAAGGAGGACUCGCCCACCACAUCUGCUCCAGCUGCUCCCUCAUCGCCGCCCUCAGGACCUGGUGAUUUAGUCCUGAGAAUCAACCAAAGGUCACAGCUGUCAGGAAAGUGCCUAUGAGAAGUCUGUGAGAGCUGCUAGCUGUGGGUCUCUGCAGAGGAGGAGCACCAGGUCCCAGGGGAGGGAUUCCCCUUCCUCAGACAUGAAUGGGGUGGGGGAGGGGGUGUGGACGCUGUGGGGCAAUAGAGGAAGCUGAGGCCAUUUGCUGGGUCUGACAUGGCAUUCAUUGAGGAAGACGCAACUCUCUGACUAGAAACCAGGAGAGAGUGGGCAGAGGGGCUUUGGUAGGCGGGCUCCGGAGGUGGACUCCCUGUCAGUGGGCAGGACACAAGAUGGCGGCCACUGUGCAGAAACAAUCUUAGAGCUGAGAAGAGGCAGCCCAAACCAAGUGUCACCUAACAUCUCCAUUAUUGCACGGUUAUCAGCUGACUUCUUAGUCAGCAAGCAGUCUAUGUUAUCAGCAAAUAUCUUAGCUGUCAGUUCCCCUCUUAGUGAAUGUAGCAGACAUCUUAAUCAACAGUUACUUCUUUAUUGCCUAUGACUCCCUUAACCAAAACCGGGAAAAGAACAGUUGCCAUCAAGUAGAUUACAAUUCAUGACGACUCCCAUGUAAGCAGAUUGGGCCUUUCUUCCGUGGCACCUCUGGGUAGGUUUGAACCACCUACCUUUUGGUUAGUAGUUGAGGGAAAAUUAUUUGUGUCACCCAGACAAAAACCCACUGCCGUCGAGUCGAUUCCGACUCAUAGUGACCCUAUAAGACAGAGUAGAACUGCCCCAUAGAGUUUCCAAGGAGCGCCUGAGACCUUAUUAUUACCUGUGACCAGAUUAAUUAUGCAUUAAUAACUUAGUUGUCUGAUACUGUCUUAAUUGUCCACCAAUUGCCUUUAUCCAUGAAAAUUUUAGUGAUCAGCUAACUGUAUUAAGUAAUUGAACCCUGGUGGCACAAUGGUUAAAACACUCAGCUGCUAACCAGAAGGUCAGUGGUUCAAACCCACCAGCCAAUCCUUGGGAAAAAGAUGUGGCAGUCAGCUUCCAUAAAGAUUACAGCCUUGGAAACCCUAUGGGGCAGUUCUGUUCUGUCCUGCAGGGUUGCUAUGAAUUGGAAUUAACUCAACAGCCAUGGGGUUUGUAUUAAGUAAUGCAACUAUAACAAACAAACCCCUAAAUCUCAAUGCCUUACCAGCAAACUUUAUUUCUCAUUUCCCUAAGUCUAAUCCUCAGGGAAGGAGCCCUGAUGGCACAACAGUUAAGCACUGGGCUACUGACCUAAAAGUUGGCUGUGCAAACCCAUCCAGCCACUCUGUAGGAGAUAUACCUGGCAACCUGCUCCCAGAAAAUCCUAUGGGGCAGUUCUACUCUGUCACAUGGGGUCCCUGUAAGUUGAGAUUGACUCUACGGCACCCAACAACAACAAUCCUCCGGAGGAGUGGUGGGGGGUGAAGGAGGUUCUGUUUCAUUCAGUUCCAGCUUGAUGGAGGGACCCAGGCUGGCGGAGGCCCUACUGUCUUCAGCUCUUGGCUUUCAAGGUUGCCCUAGACGUCCCUAUCCAUCCAGCAGAUAGGGGAUGAGAUGGAGCGUCAGGCAGGAGGUAUUCACGGGCCGAGUCAGGAAGCUGCAUGCAUCACUUCUGACCAUUUUCGACUGGCCUCAGCCAAUCACAGGGGAGGCCGGAAGAUGAGGUCCCAGCUGUGUGGUCACUGCCCAGCAACAGCUCUGCACUGUCGAAGGGGAGCCCAGAUCUUUGGAGGGAAGCUCACUGCCGCUGCCACCUAGCACUCUUAGCCUUCAAACCCUGGUUGACACUGUACAUCUCAGUUAUCUUCUAAAUAUCUGAGUUGUCCGCUAGCACCUCCUUAGUGGCAGCUGUUUACCUUCUGUCUGUAGGAGAGCUACUAGUCGUGGGUCACUCUCUGUUGCUGCCUGGUGCGCUGUGCUGCCCACCCCGUGUCCUGGACUAGUUUUCACGCCUCAGCCACCAUGUGUGAAACCCCAGCCCUGCUUUCUGAUGUUUUAUAAAAUACGGACUUUAAUUCCAAGGCGCUUGUUUAUAGGCCCCCAGUUCUCCCUACUCGCCUUCCUCCCGCAGACUCACGCAUUGGUCUGUGGAGAUGGUUUGGAGUCUUUUGUUAGUUUGGGGGGCAUUGGAACCCCAACAUGUGCACAGUAGAAUUGCUCCAUAGAGUUUUCAAAGCUGUGACCUUUCAGAAGCAGAUUGCCAGGCCUGUCUUCCACGGUACCUCUGGGUGGGUUCAAACCGCCAAUGUUUCCAACCUUUCUGCUAGUAGUCAAGCCCUUAUCUGUUUGUGCCUCCCAGGGUCCCUAUGAGUCAGAAAUGACUCCAUGGCAACUGGUUUGGUUUGGUUUGGUCUGGGGACAUUUGAAAGGUAGAGAAAGGCAGGCUUCCCAGAUGCCCUGCAGGAAACCUGGGAAAUUCCUCAGAUUCCUGCUUCUGAGGGGUCACAGGGUGGAGAAAAGUAAAGCUUUCCUGAAUGUUUUACUGUGACCUGGUCCUGGAGACUUACCCACCCCUUUAACCGCCCCCCCACCCCACCCCCACACACACACACACACACAACUAAGGGCCUGUCUGGGGAAGAUACCUGGUGGUUUAUUUUUGCCUGACAGAGGAAUGCACCUCACAGCCAUGUGACUGGGGGAGGUGUGGGGAAGGCAAUUUGGCCCUGAGAAUUAAAGGUCACAGCCAGCAAGAAAGUAUCUGGGCCUGGGGCCAAGGUGGACAGUUAUCCACACUGUGUGCUCAGGUGGGACUCCAUCCCCUGGGGUGUCACAUUACAGGCACUGCCCUCCCCAUAUAGCACCCACCUAUGGUGGGAGUCUUCGGUAUUGUUAAUAAAAGCCUUGGGAUAGUUAUCAGAAACUGCUCAUAGCAAACAUAAUAUGUUGCUCUUAGGUGCUGGCAACCCCAUGUGACAGAGUAGAACUGCCCCAAUAGCUUUUUCUAGACUAUAAUCUUCACAGAAGCAGAUCACCAAGUCUUUCUCCCACAGAGCCACUGGGUGGGUUUGAACCCCCAGCCUUUCAGUUAGCAGCCAAGCCCUUAACCAUUGUACCACCAGGGUUCCUUCGGCCAUUGUAUACUGAGCACUAAUUCUGUGCCCAACAUUGUGUCUGACAAAUGGCCUAGUGGGUAGAUGGGGGACUCUUGAAUCAGCCUGUCUUGUUUCAAGUCUCAGCUCUAAUUACUGUUAGCCAUAUUCUCAUCAUUACAGGUAGUCCCUGACUUACUACAUAUUAGAGUUACGAUGAGCUGCACAUCUGUUUUUUUUUUUUUUGGUCUGUUUGUUUGUUUACAUCUUAUCCUUAAUAACAUGUACUAGAUACAAUGUUGCAGCACAUACAACAGCUGGGAUCUAGCCUGUGGAUCAAGGUACACCUUCAAGGCAUACUACUUACGGACUCCGUUUGCUCAGACAGUAACUGCCAACGGAUGGAGGUACGGUUAACAUCAUGUGAUUCCUGGAAGAAUUAUAGUAUCCGGGACAUUGCAGCUUCCUGGGAGGACGUCAUGGGAAAAUGCAUGCGAGGGAUUUGGAAAACAUUGCUGAGUUAUGUGAACACGCUCAAAGCAUUUGAUCAGGAUCAUAUGACAGAAGAGAUCAGUGGAAAAAUUGUCCAUAUGGCAAGAAUGCUGGAACUUGAUAUCGCUGAUGUGCAACGGCUCAUAGAUCAUGACCAAGGGGAAUUGACAGAUCAGGACCUAAUGGAUUUUGAAGAGGAAAGAAAAUGCUGAAGAAGAAAGAAAUGGUGAGGAAGGGGAAGGAGAGAAGUCGCCAAAAAAUUUUACAGUGAAAGGAUUAGCUGGUGUUUUUUCUAAACUAAAUCAGGGGCUUCAGCUGCUUAAAAACAUGGACCCAAAUGCUGAUCCCUUUCCUGAAGUUGAUAGGCAGAUUUGGGAAGCUGUGAGGUGUCACUGCUGAACAUAUGAAGAAAAAAAGAAAAGGACCAUCCAGACAACUCUCACUAAUUUUCUGACUAGAAACGCUACCCCAUUCCCAGGGGUAAUCCAGAUGGUCCAGAACCUUCCACAAGUCGAGUUAUUACACAGCUGACCAAAUGGCAAUGUCAUCCAACUCUUCUUCAUUGUCAGAGUAAAUGUUUAUGGUCUGUGUAUUUUUUAUGUAUGUAAGUAUGUUUUAAAACAUAUCCGUAAGUUUAUAUGUAAUGUUUCCAACCCUCGAAGACAGAUAAAGAUCAGAUUAAUAAAGACAGAUAAUAAAAGGCAAUCAUAAGGAAAACUAAAAAAAAAAAAAGGAUUCAGCUUACAUCAGAACUGGCUUAGAACAGAGUCGUUGGAACAGAAGCCCGUUGUAAGUCAGGGACUACCUGUAGGUGCAUUAUCUCAUUUAACCCUCAUCAGCGACGCAGCAGAGAGGUUAACAAGCAGGAGCCCCCUUUACGGAUGAGGAAACUGAGGAUUGGAGAUGUCAGGGAAUCUGCUUGAGGUCUCCAGCUAGUAAAUGUCUGGAGGCAGGCGCUAUUAGGUUGUGUUUCUUUCUUUCUUUUUUUAAUUAUUGUAAAGGGAUAUGUAAAACAACAUUUGCUGAUUGGACAUAUUCAGGUGCACAAUUUAGUAAUAUCAAUUAUGUUAAUCAUGUGGUAGGUUCCGUUUGACUGCAGAGUUUGUGAGAAUUGAUGGAGCUAUGCCCUUGGGAUGCGUGCAUUUUCUGAAGUUACAGUCCCUUAAAAUGUUUACUUAAAAAAAAGUCACAGGUACACACACACACACACACACAGUCCGGACUCACCCAGUGUGGCCUUGAGCCAGUCACCCACCCUCAGAGGCUCUGCAUCCUUGCAUCCAUGCCUGCACGCUACUUCCCAGGCCUGAGCAGUGUGGCUCAAGGACCGAGGCCAGGUGAGGAUAAGGGCACCAGGUCACCUAGAGGGUUGUGCUUCUGUACAGAUACUGCUGCAACCACCCAGUACCAUGAACUGUUAAGGAGCUAUGCUUUGCUCUGUGUUGUGCUGAGCCAAGUGUACCGGGAAAUGAGGAAAACAGAAUCCCUGCAUGAUCUGCCCGCUCACCUCUCCCCAUGCUUUCCCCACCCCUUAGCUAUCAAGUCUCUCAGGUUUCUACCUAGGAGUGGAAUUACUGGGUUACCAUAAAAAAAUAAAAUUAAAUAAAGAUAAAUUUUUUUAAUGGUAAUUCUGGAAACCCUGGUGGUGUAGUGGUUAAGUGCUACAGCUGCUAACCAAAGGUUUGGCAGUUCAGAUCCACCAGGUGCUCCUUGGAAACUCUAUGGGGCAGUUCUACUCUGUCCUAUAGGGUUGCUAUGAGUUGGAAUCAACUCGACGGCAGUGGGUUUGGUUUUGUUUUUUUUUUUUAAUGGUAAUUCUAGGGCCCUGCUGGCAUAAUGGUUAAUAACUCAGCUGCUAACCAAAAGGUCAGCAGUUCAAAUCCACCAGCCACUCCUUGGAAGCCCUAUGGGGCAGUUCUGCUCUGUCCUAUAAGGUCGCUAUGAGUUAGAAUUGACUUGAUGGUAAUGGAUUUGGUUUAAUAGGUAUGGUAAUUCUUUUUUUUUUUUCUUUUUUCUGGUAUUUUAGAUGAAGGUUUACAGAACAAACUAGCUUCUCAUUAAGCAGUUAGUAUACAUAUUGUUUCAUGACAUUGGUUACCAAGCCCACGACAUGUCAACACUCUCCCUUCUCGACCUUGGGCUCCCAAUCACCAGCUUUCCUGUCCCCUCCUGCCUUCUAGUCUUUGACCCUGGGCUGGUGUGCCCCUUUAGUCUCAUUUUAUUUUAUGGGCCUGUCUAAUCUUUGGCUGAAAGUUGAACCUCAGAAGUGACUUCAUCACUGAGGUGAAAGGGUGUCCAGGGGCCAUACUCUCACAGUUUCUCCAGUCUCUGUUGGGCCAGCAAGUCUCGUCUUUUUUAUGUGAGUUAGAAUUUUAUUCUGCAUUUUUCUCCAGCUCCGUCUGAGACCCUCUAUUGUGAUCUCUGUCAGAGCAGCCAGUGGUAGCCGGGCACCAUCUAGUUGUACUGGACUCAGUCUAGUAGAGGCCAUGGUAGUCGUGGUCCAUUAGUCCUUUGGACUAAUCUUUCCCUUGUGUCUUUAGUUUUCUUCAUUCUCCCUUGCUCCCAAAGGGGUGAGACCAGUGGAGUAUCUUAGGUUGCUACUCACAAGCUUUUAAUACCCCUGACGCUACUCACCAAAAUAGAAUGAAGAACAUUUUCUUUAUAAACCAUGUUAUGACAGUUGAGCUAGUUGUUCCCUGAGACCACGGUCCCCAGAGCCCUCAGCCCAGUAAUUCGGUCCCUCAGGGAGUUUGGAUGUGUCCGUGGUGCUUCCAUGACCUUGCCCUGUACAAGUUGUGUUGGCUUUGGGUAUGGUAAUUCUUAUGGAGCCCUGGUGGUACAGUGGUCAAGUGUUCAGCUGCUAAAUGAAAGGUCAGCGGUUUGACCCACCACCUGCUCCUCGGGAGAAAGAUGUAGCAUUCUGCUUCUGUGAAGAUUACAGCCUUGGAAACCCUAUGGAGAAGUUCUACUCUGUUCUUAGGGUCACUAUGAGUCGGAAUUGACUCAGUGGCAACAGGUUAUCCAUUGCUGUAAACUUUACGGAAGCAGAUUGCCACAUCUUUCUCCCAUGGAGAGGCUGGUGGGUUCGAACCGUUGACCUUUCGGUUGGCAGCUGAGCAGUUAAACAUUGUGUCACCGUAGUUCCUUAAGGGUUCCAAUUUCUCCACAUCCUCACCAACACUUAUUUUCCACUUUUUUGAUCAUAGUCAUCGUAGUGGGUGUCCUUGAAUCAAUUUUGAAGGUCAAUCUUUUAGACCAUCCUGACCUGCUGUCUAGGACUGGUAAAUUGAGAUUGACUGUAGCUAAGAUUUCACUGAGGUGUUGAGAUGCAAGGCCACAGAUUGUCUUUACAACAUGUUUGUCCAAAUGAGAAAAGCUGGCGAGGUGGGUAGUCAUAGCCCCAAGAGCACAUGACUUUUCUAGCAGUGCAAGCAUGUAUUUCAGCCCCACUACCCUCUUUGAACGAUAUCUUUCAAACAAUGUCAUUAACAUCACAUGCAAGUAAAAUUUUGCUGAAGAUAAUUCAAAAAUACAUCAAUAGGGAACUUCCAGAAAUUCAAGCCAGAUUCAGUAGAGGACGUGGAACCAGUCAUAUCAUUGCUGAUGUCAGAUAGCUCUUGGCUGAAAGCAGAGAAUACCAGAAAGAUGUUUACCUGUGUUUUAUUGACUAUUCAAAGACAUCCAACUGUGUGGAUCAGAACAAGUUAUGGAUAAAACACUUCAAAGAAUGGAAAUUCCAGAACACUUUAAUUGUGCUCAUGUGGAACCUGUACAUAGACCAAGAGGCAGUUGUUCGAAUAGAACAGGGGAUACUGCAUGGUUUAAGGUAAGGAAAGGCGUGCAUUAGGGUUGUAUCCUUUCACCACACUUAUUCAAUCUGUUUGCUGAGCAAAAAAUCUGAGAAACAAGACUAGAUGAAGAAAAUCACAGCAUCAGGAUUGGAGGAAGACUCAUUAACAACCUGUGAUACGCAGAUGAUACAACCUUGCUUGCUGAAAGCUAAGAGGACUUGAAGCACUUACUGAUGAAGAUCAAGGACUACAGUCUUCAGUAUCAAUUACCCCCCAACAGAAAGAAAGCAAAAAUCAUCACAGCUGGACCAAUAAGUAAAGUCAUGAUAAGCGGAGAAAAGAUUGAAGUCAAGGAUUUUAUUUUAUUUGGAUCCACAGUCAAUGCCUACGGAAGUAGCAGUCAAGAAAUCAAACAAACAACAUAUUGCAUUGGGCAAAUCUGCUGCAAAAGGCGGCUUUAAAGUGUUAAAAGCAAAGAUGUCACCUUGAGGACUAAGGCGUGCAUGACUCAAGCCGUUAUAUUUUCAGUGGCCUCAUAUGCAUGCAAAAGCUGGACAAUGAAUAAGGAAAACCGAAGAAGAAUUGACGCCUUUCAAUUAUGGUGUUGGCGAAGAAUACUGAAUAUACCAUGAACUGCCCGAAGAAACAACAAAUCUGUCUUGAAAUAAGUACAGCCAAAAUGCUCCUUAGAAGGGAGGAUGGCAAGACUUUGUCUUACAUAUGUUAGACAUGUUAUCAGGAGGGACGCAUCCUUAGAGAAGGAUGUUAUACUUAGUAAAGUAGAGGGUCAGCAAAAAAGAGGAAGACCCUCCACGAGAUGAAUUGACACAAUGGAUGCAAAAAUGGGAUCAAACAUAACAAUUGUGAGGAUGGCACAGGACUGGGCAGUGUCUCAUUCUGUGGAACCGACUUACCGGCCCCUAACAACAGCAACAGCCCUUUGCCUGGGCACCUCCGUGCGGUAUACAACCUACACAACUAUACCUGGUGGCCCUGCUGAAGACGCUGCCUAGGAAUUUCCAACUCUUUUCAUUCUCUCUGAAAAAAGAAACUGUGCGAGCACCCUGUAGCUGAUGGUAGGAGCAUACCACUACCCAAACCCGAUGGUUGCCAGGGUGUUGCUAAGCUGCCCCCGUACUGUGCUAAUGUUCUUAAGACUCAAAAUCCACCAAGGCACCUCUCAGCCUUCAAAGAAGUGGCCUAGAGGGAAAUACAGGCAACAUGAUCAUUUCAAUACAGGGUGGCCAAUGCUGUCUCCAGAGGUAAACUCAAGGUAGUAAGUAGAAUCAGAUACGACAGUUACCCAUAUUUCAUCAAAUCUAAGACACAGUUGAUUUGAAGAUACACCAUUUUUUGUGUGUGUAUACUGCUAAAAUAGAAAAAAGAAAUACUGCCAUUAAACUAUGGCACAUUGUUUUCUUAUCACUUUAAUUUGAUACUUACUGAAAUGUAUCUUUGAGACUUACUUAGACAAUUAUUGUCAUAUACCAUUCUGACACAGAUAUAAAAAGGAAAAUAUGAGCAAAGGAAGUUGGGUGAGGUAUCACUAAGACUUGUUCACAUUUAGGAUUCAAUUCCUCUGAAUCACUUUCCGUGCAGAGUUGCGAGAUUGGUGUCCUCCACACCGUAUUUCUCUGCGCCAUCGUAAUCAUCGGGGAUGUGGCAUUUCCAUUAUGGCGCUCCACUCUUGUCUCUGGGAUUUUCUUUUAAGUUGCAGGCAUCCGCUGUGCAAGAUUUGCAGUGACAACAAUAUCACAGCUGUUGCCUUUAAGAAUGCAUCUCGACUUCAGAGAUGCUGAACUGUGGAGAACUGUGCAUCUUAGGAUCAAUUGAAUAAGGUUAUCUGGCCUUGGGGUAGGCACGGAAGUUCUGCAGUUCCAUGGCAACAAAUGUGCACAUUAUGCUGAGUGAAAUAAGUCAGUCACAAAAGGACAAAUAUCUCAUGAUCUCGCAUACGUGAAAUGUCUACAAUAAGCGAAUGCAGAGAGGCCAAAGUUUAUUAGUGAUUACCAAGGACUGGGGGCGGGGCCAGAAAUGGGGAGUUAUUGCUUAAGCUCUACUGAGUUUCAGUUUGGAGUGAUGAAAAACUUUUGGAAAUAGAUGGAAGUGAUGGAUGUACAACAUAGUGAAAGUAAUUAAUAUCACUGAAUCAUACGCUUAAAAAUGGUUAAAGUGCAAUUUUUUUUGUUGUUACACGUAUUUUUUAAAAAAACAACCAGUUGCCGUUGAGUUGAUUCAGACUCAUGGCGACCCCUUGUGUGUGGGAGUAGAACUGUGUGUGCUUUGUGAGGCUUUCAAUGGCUGUGAUCUUUCAGAAGUAGAUCAUCGGGCCCUUCUUCUGAGUCACCUCAGGAGGAUUUGAACCUGUAGGUUAGUAGCCGAACACUUAGCCAUUUGUGCCACUCAGGGACUCCUAUAUAUAUUUUACUAUGAUAUAUUUUUUUAAAAAAACCUUUGGUCCAAGAGUCCUGAAGUGAUUCCAAGAAUCAAGAAGUGGUUACAGACUUUUGGAUGGAGCUCGGUGGUACAGGACAACUUCUGUCUCUGACCCUAAAUGAACUCUUUGACCUUGAGCAAGUUAUACACAGCUGAGACCUUGAUUUCCUUAAUUAGAAAGAUGAUCCAGCGAUGCCAU